rnacentral:rRNA from 1 species
UGGGGAAUAUUGGACAAUGGGCGAAAGCCUGAUCCAGCCAUGCCGCGUGAGUGACGAAGGCCUUAGGGUUGUAAAACUCUUCGUCGGGGACGAUAAUGACGGUACCCGAAGAAGAAGCUCCGGCUAACUUCGUGCCAGCAGCCGCGGUAAUACGAAGGGAGCUAGCGUUGUUCGGAAUCACUGGGCGUAAAGCGCACGUAGGCGGAUAGUUAAGUCAGGGGUGAAAUCCUGGGGCUCAACCCCAGAACUGCCUUUGAUACUGGCUGUCUCGAGGUCGAGAGAGGUUGGUGGAAUUCCUAGUGUAGAGGUGAAAUUCGUAGAUAUUAGGAAGAACACCAGUGGCGAAGGCGGCCAACUGGCUCGAUACUGACGCUGAGGUGCGAAAGCGUGGGGAGCAAACAGGAUUAGAUACCCCAGUAGUCCCUGAGCGGGCUGGCAAGGCGCAU